rnacentral:rRNA from 1 species
GGCCUGCGCGGAAGAUGUAACGGGGCUAAACCAUGCACCGAAGCUGCGGCAGCGAACGUAUCACUUAAAGCGAUUCAGCGGGUUACGAUUGACGGAGCGAAGCGACGUCAAAGCGUAUACAAAGUCGAGUCGGUUUAAGGAUACGUUCGUUGGGUAGGGGAGCGUUCUGUAAGCCUGUGAAGGUGUGUCGUGAGGCAUGCUGGAGGUAUCAGAAGUGCGAAUGCUGACAUAAGUAACGAUAAAGCGGGUGAAAAGCCCGCUCGCCGGAAGACCAAGGGUUCCUGUCCAACGUUAAUCGGGGCAGGGUGAGUCGACCCCUAAGGCGAGGCCGAAAGGCGUAGUCGAUGGGAAACGGGUUAAUAUUCCCGUACUUGGUGUUACUGCGAAGGGGGGACGGAGAAGGCUAUGUUGGCCGGGCGACGGUUGUCCCGGUUUAAGCGUGUAGGUGUGUGUUCCAGGUAAAUCCGGUUCACUUUAACACUGAGGCGUGACGACGAGGCACUACGGUGCUGAAGCAACAAAUGCCCUGCUUCCAGGAAAAGCCUCUAAGCAUCAGGUAACAUCAAAUCGUACCCCAAACCGACACAGGUGGUCAGGUAGAGAAUACCAAGGCGCUUGAGAGAACUCGGGUGAAGGAACUAGGCAAAAUGGUGCCGUAACUUCGGGAGAAGGCACGCUGACACGUAGGUGAAGUGAUUUACUCAUGGAGCUGAAGUCAGUCGAAGAUACCAGCUGGCUGCAACUGUUUAUUAAAAACACAGCACUGUGCAAACACGAAAGUGGACGUAUACGGUGUGACGCCUGCCCGGUGCCGGAAGGUUAAUUGAUGGGGUCAGCGCAAGCGAAGCUCCUGAUCGAAGCCCCGGUAAACGGCGGCCGUAACUAUAACGGUCCUAAGGUAGCGAAAUUCCUUGUCGGGUAAGUUCCGACCUGCACGAAUGGCGUAAUGAUGGCCAGGCUGUCUCCACCCGAGACUCAGUGAAAUUGAACUCGCUGUGAAGAUGCAGUGUACCCGCGGCAAGACGGAAAGACCCCGUGAACCUUUACUAUAGCUUGACACUGAACAUUGAGCCUUGAUGUGUAGGAUAGGUGGGAGGCUUUGAAG